rnacentral:sRNA from 1 species
CCAUGAACAACGCAAAAAAUUACAUUCUCAAUAAAAGCAUUCCUAGGAGACGUACCCUUCGGGGUACUCCAUGAAACAAGGAAAUCGUCAAGUAGAAUGGAGAGCAUGAAAUGCUGUUGAUCUUGGGUGCGGCGCUUUCCUCAUGCUCUGUGGGAAGGGCUGCAAUGAUUGGCCGUACAU